AUGAACGCUGGCGGCGUGCUUAACACAUGCAAGUCGAACGGAAAGGCCCAAGCUUGCUUGGGUACUCGAGUGGCGAACGGGUGAGUAACACGUGGGUGAUCUGCCCUGCACUUCGGGAUAAGCCUGGGAAACUGGGUCUAAUACCGGAUAGGACUACUUCCUGGAUGUUGUGGUGGAAAGUUUUUUCGGGGUGGGAUGAGCUGGCGGCCUAUCGGCUUGUUGGUGGGGUAAUGGCCUACCAGGGUGUCGAGGGGAAGCCGGCCUGAGAGGGUGUACGACCACAUUGGGACUUAGAGACGGCACAGGCUGCGACGGGAGGAAGCAGGGGGGAAGAUUGCACAAGGGGUGCAAGCCUGAUGCAGCAGCGCCGCGGGGGGGAUGACGGCCUUCGGGUUGUAAACUCCUUUCGCUAGGGACGAAGCGUUUUGUGACGGUACCUGGAGAAGAAGCACCGGCUAACUACGUG
rnacentral:rRNA from 1 species